GUUUACAUUUGUAGGGACCCUAAGGAUUCAUUUGUUUCGAAUUAUCUCUUCUUUGUUAGGAUCUUGGCAUCUAAAGACAUGAAGCCCUUUGCUUUAGAAGAGGCCUUUGAGCUUUAUUGCCAAGGUGUAAGCUCUUAUGGACCUUAUUGGGACCAUGUUCUAGGGUUUUGGAAAGCAAGUUUGGACCGACCUGAUAAGAUUCUUUUCUUGAAAUACGAAGAAAUGAUGGAAGAUACUGCUGUAUACGUUAAGAAAUUAGCUGAUUUCAUCGGUUAUCCUUUCUCUUUUGAAGAAAUUGAAAAAGGAUCAGUCGAAAAAAUUGUAAACAUGUGUAGUUUCGAGAAUUUAAGCAAAUUGGAAGUGAAUAAAAGCGGAAAACACCGUGAGGAAACUCCAGUGGUGAUUGAAAACAAGAUCUAUUUCCGAAAAGGUAAGGUUGGGGAUUGGGAGAAUUAUUUGACACCUAAAAUGGCUGCUCGGUUGGACUCGAUAACGUUGCAAAAGCUAAAUGGUUCAGGCUUAACUCUGUGAUUGAAUCAUAAAGCAGCCAUGGGGUACAUUGUCCCUUCCCUGCAAUUUCGACAUAUUAUGUUUCUAAAAGUAAUUUGUGUAUGCUUUUUGCAAGUAGUAACACUUCUCGUGUUGUUCAUGUUAACAUCAAUAAAAAGCAUAGUUGAUUCAAUAUGUGAAAUGUGAUUAAAAACAUGUAAAAGACUAUGCGAAUUGAAUUAUAUGAGUUCGGAGGACCGAUAUAAAAAUUAAAAAAAAUAAAUAGAUUCGAUAUAGAAAUGAUAUGAUUAAAUGAUAUGAACUGAAAUGGAAAUGAUUGUGUUUUUUUAUAGUGGAAAAAAUAGCAUGGUAUGUUAUAAUGAUUUGCCGAUUUUCAUAAUGUAUGAAUCGAGAUAUAUGACAUGAAUAGAUGAAAUUCAAAUGUUUGAAUCUUGAAUAUGUUUUGAUUACAUUCUUGUCGAAUUAAUGUUUAUGUUGGUAUGACUUGAUCAUAAAGGUAUCGCUGAUCUUUAUCGCUUAGUGUACAAUUUUGUUUAUUCCAUAUGAGGUAUUAGUUAAUCUCGAAGACUUGAGGAGUGAUCCAACAUCUGAUUUGUAACUCUCGACUUAACAAUGUUUGUAUAGUUCCUUUACGUUUUGAUAUAUGACAUAUACCUAAGUUUUAAGUUGGUUUUAUAUCUUGGAUGGUCAUUUGGAAAAUUGGAUAGUUGAUGUCAAUUUGAAUUUAUGAAUAUGAAAUGUUUAAGUUAUCAUGAACAUUAUGUGAUGUUUAAAUGGUUAAGUGGUGUAAAUGGUCAUAUGUAUUAAGUUAGGUUUGAGUUAUGAAUGGUUAAAUUGAUAAACAUGAAUGGUAAUGAUAUAGCAAAGGUAGUAUAUGAAGUGUUGAUGUAGGUAUUAUGCUUGAACGGAUUGGUUUCGCAUUGGUUGUUUUGGUUAGGUUAGUAUGGAUUGGUACCAUAUAAACAUUUCAAAACAAUAUGUCACAUUGUAACAAGAAAUCGAUAGUGAAUGACGUCGCGACCUGGAAUCUCCCAAGUAGUGAUGUCAACUUGAUAGUUUUAACAUUUUACAUUUUAGUUUUUAAACGACUUUAGGUUAUUGAAAGAGCUUUCGUAUGCUUGUAUAAAUCCUAGAUAUGUUUGUAUAAUAUGAUAUAAUGAUGUAUUGAUCAUAAUUACAAGUAUAAACUGUUGAAGUGAUAAAAUUUAGAUCGUAGUUGCUCCAACAACGAAUGUGACAUCCCAUAGUUUGGACUUGUAAAUCAAGUUGGGUAUGGGGUGUUAAGGUGGGUUUGGAGAAGAAGAAUAGCACUUUGUAUUAUAAAUUUAAAAACAAAAACCCAAUCAGUUUAGUAAAUGGAGUUAGAGAAGAAAUAAUGGGUUUAGAAAAGAAGUAGAGUACUUUGUAUUAUAGGCCAUUGAUGGUAGAAGUUUUUAUGAUUCUCAAGAAUGAAAGCACUGUUACCCAAGCCCUGAUUUUGUUUCUUGGAAAUUCGAGCAACAACAAUCGGUCUAAUAAUUAUAAUUAGUUAGACUUUUCUAGACAAUAAAAUACUAUUACGUACCAAUUUUAUAAACUACUAACAAUAUCUAUUUGACAGUUAAAAGUUUUUUUUUACAUAAAAUGAAUAUUUAGAAAAUUUUAAUUUAUGCCAAACUUUUUUUGCUUCAUUCAAAUUAUUCUGCUUAAAAGCAAUAGAACAAUAGUUCCAGUUAACCAAUACAAUUGUCACAAAAGCUAAUAUAACAUGAAAACCAGACAUUCCAAUAACAUUCACCACCACGCCUUGAACAUAACCCUACAAUUAAUACCUGCUGACGCUAAUGUGUCUACCAUUUCAUUGCCAUGCUGCUCUGCUUUUGAAAAUGCUACCUUACCCACAUAGGUUAGUCUCCUUUCCAUAUCUGCGAAUGUAGUUUGUUGCGACCAAGGUCUCCUGUCUUUGUUGAAUAACCAAUUAUACGCCACCAGUGACUCAAUUUCAACAAUAAUCAAACCAAUUCACCUCCACCUUAUUUCAAUUAUUACAUCCAACGCAGUAAUUAUUGCUCCUAAUUCAGCUGAAUCUGCAUCAAUGGCAUCACAUGGUCCCGAGAAUAAAGCUUUUACAUUUCCUUCCUCGUCUUUAAGAACACCUCCACAGCGUAUAGCUUCCUCAGUUACCAUUCCGCUUACAUUAAACUUCAGCUACCCAUGAGGAGGAUAAUGCCAACCCAGUGUAACGGGUUUGGAAUCGAACCUGCAAUUAGAAGAAUUAACCACCAUAAUCUCUCUUGUACUAUACACUCAUCGAAAGCAGCUCUUACCCACAACAAUGCUCUCAUCUUGGAAUGAAAUAUCAGCCCAUUCAUAGACAACACAUUUCUUUCAAACACCAUCUCGUUCUUUGCGAGCCAAACAGACCAACAUGAUGCCGCUAUUGCUAUCAACCAAAGAUUUUUGCUAGUACCAUGUAACUUAGAAUUAAAACAUAAAGAGUAAAAUUCUUCAAAACCGCUCACCAUUUUCCAGCCAACUUCCCACCAAUUAAAUAUCCUUCUCCAAAAACCCACAAUAAAAUUGCAUUUAAAGAACAAAUGGUCCGCUUUCUCCUGUUCACGUUCACACCAUGGGCAUACAUUCAUUAUGUUUUGCUGAUGCACCCUUCUCUUCACCAAUAAAUCCUUUGUGGGAAUUCUGUCGAUUGCAAACAUCCAUAGUAAGUUUCGCACCCUAGGAGGGAUUGUUAAUUUCCAGAUUUUAUCAAAAGCAAAAAUGAUGUCAUCCCCUUCUCCCUCGAUCAGCAAAUUUAUGCCAAACUUGACAUACAUGAUCUAUAUGAAUGGAGUAUUAAAUAUGACGGCGGAAUUGUUAAAAUAUUAAUUGUAUAAAAAGUUACUAAAUUAUGCAAAACCACUUUAAUUUUACACCCAGUGUAAAUGAAUCUCUCAUCUUAUUUAAUUUUUUAAGUAUUAUAUUAAUAAUUUUUAUCUUACAUAUUUUAUUUAUGUUUUUUGGGUACAUGUUUUAUCUUAAGAUUUGUAUCAUUCUUUACACGAUAAUAAUUCAUUUUACAUAGUUAUAAAAAAUCAUAACUUUUACAUAACUUUUGAUAUAUUAUUAUAUUUUGGUUUAUGUUUAUUUCUAUGUGACAUGAUAAUUCUAAUUAUUUGAAUUUUUUAUGUACGCUAAAUAAAUUUGGAGUAAUCUGAAUUGAUUUAACUUGAAUAGGAUACAAAGGUUUUACUUAUAUAGUGUACAAAUCAUAUUAAAAAUUAAUCUAACUUUACGAAGCAUAAUGAGCAGGUAUGUUCUAGUCAUAUAUUAAAUUAUGAUAUAACUCUUGUACAUACUUUUUUUUACAUCAUUUUAGUCCUUUUUUUUAUCAUUUUAGUUUUGAAUCAUCAAAUUUCAAUUAAAUUACCUUUUUUUUUUGACGUAAAAGUUGACCUAACAAGUAAAACUUUAACGUGAUUGACGUGGUAACCUGUAUAUAUAGUAGUAUAUUAUUUUUAAAAUUUUUAUGAACUUUUUGAAUUUUUAUUUUUUUUUAAUUUCAUGAAGUACGCGCAGACUUUCAUGUGUAUAACCACGUCACUUUCGUUAAAAUUUUAAUAGUCCAAUUAAUUUUUCCGUUCAAAGAAAAACAAUUUAACAAAAAUUUGAAAAUUUAAAAUAAAUCGAUCCAAAAAAAGUAUUAAAAUAAAUGCAUUUAAGAAAAGAGAAAUUAUUUGGUACACUGCCGACAGAGCUUUUAUACUCCACAAACAGAAUCAGGAAUUGAUAAGUAUUCUAUAAAGAUAUAAUAAAAUAUUAAUUUUUUAAGAUUACUUAUGAAAUAAAAAAAAUACACUUCACCUCAAUUAUUGUCAACAAAACCUGAUUCCAAAUCUUUUAAAAUAAUACAAAAAAAUCUAUCAACUAGAUUGUUUAGUGACAAAAUCAUGAAUAAAGAUACAAAUCUUUCCGAACCUUUAAAUAUAUUUGAAUAAAAUCAAAUCAAAUUGAAAAUCAAUCUGAUUGGAAUAAAAUAAAAUCGAGAUAUUUUCCUUUUAAUACAGAUUCUUGUAUAAAUUUUGUUAAGAAAAAUAACAUCUUGGGCCCAACAGAUCCAAAUAUUUCGCAUCGCCCAUGUUGUGAGAGUGCACCCCUAACCGCUGUUGAGUUUGGACAUGCACCCCUUAUACGCAAGACAAAAUUUCAAGUUUAGUCAUUUAAUUACUUUUCAAGUGGGUUGUUAUCUAUAUACAUAUCUCAACUUGGUAUUUAACCAAUGUGGGAUCUAAGCUUUUCUUUUUCUCAACAAAUAUUUAUAAGUGACUUACUUUGAGUAUCAAUUUCUCAUUCAUCACUCAAUUAUUUUGAGGAUAUGAUAUACCAUUGUAAAGUUCUCAUGGAGUAGAAUAUAAAAAUAUAAUUUUAUGAUUCAACUCUCCACCUUUACCAAUCGAGAAGUUUCCAAAAAUUACAUUUUUUCCAACAAAAUUUUAACGGCAUUGACGUGGUAGCCUGUAUAGUAGUGCAUGUGUACUUUAUUGCUAAUGUGAACGAUUAUUUUCAAAACUUUUAUGAACUUUUUGAAUUUUUAUUUUUGUUUAAUUUUAUGAAGUACAGGCGGACUUUCAUGUGUAUCACCACCUCAUUUUCGUUAAAAUUUUAAUAGUUCAAUUAAUUUUUUCGUUUGAAAAAAAGCAAUUUAACUAAAAUUUGAAAAUUUAAAGCAAACCGAUCCAAAAAAUAUUAAGAUAAAUGCAUUUAAGAAAAAGAAAAAUUAUUUGAUACACUAUCUAUAGAAUUUUUAUAUUCCACAAGUAAAAUUAGAGGUUGAAAAAUAUCUUAGAGAUAUAAUAAAAAAAAUAUACGUCAAAUUUUCAAAUCACAUCACCCUAAACAAAAAAUUUCGACAAAUACUGCCAAAAAACCUGAUGCCAAAUCUUUUAAAAUAAUACAAAAAAAUCUGGUUGGUGACAAAAUCAUGCAUGGGACAGACCUUGACAAUUGCUAAAUAAGUACUAGCUACACUUUUUAUUUAUUUAGUCCCUACAAUUCUAUUCCAACCCAAGAAAUUUGGUGGUGGAUAUAAUAAAAAAACUGUGGCUAUAAGCAAAUAAUUCUCGUGACUAAAAUCACAUGGUUGAAUUACAAAAAAAUUAUUGUGUAAUUGUGAAAGAAAUUACCUUUUCUCUAAAGCUAUUUAUAGACCCAAUUUUUGUCAAAAUAUUUGCACUCAUUUCCCCUUUCUUUUUCCUUUAUGAAUAUGACCUCCUUCAAAGAGAUUAUAUCAACACUCCCAAGAAGAAAAAGUUGGAAUGACUCAAACGACUUUUUUUUGUAUCAAGGCUUUUGGUGUUACUCAUUUUUCAUUGAAGGAGUGAUGUCGGCUCAACAAAAUUUUCAAUCUCAACCUUCCGAUAUCGUCAUAUGCAGUGCACCGAAAACUGGAACAACAUGGUUAAAGUCCCUGACUUUCGCCAUUGUCACAAGAACCACCUUCGAUGGUUCCACUAACCCUUUACUUGCCAAUCUAUCACAUGAUUGUGUACCCUUUUUAGAGGUUGAUUUAGCCCAAUCUUCCACCAAUCGAGACCCUAAAAAUCCUUUGUUAGCCACACAUGUCCCUUACUCUUCUUUACCAAGAUCAAUAAUUGAUUCCAGUUGUAAAAUUGUUUACAUUUGUAGGAACCCUAAGGAUUCAUUCGUUUCGUUUUAUCACUUCAUUGCUAGGCACUUGGCAUCCAAAGACAUGAAGCCCCUUGCUUUAGAAGAGGCCUUUGAGCUUUAUUGCCAAGGUGUAAGCAAUUAUGGACCUUAUUGGGACCAUGUUCUAGGGUUUUGGAAAGCAAGUUUGGACCGACCUGAUAAGAUUCUUUUCUUGAAAUACGAAGAAAUGAUAGAAGAUACUGUUUUAUACGUUAAGAAAUUAGCUGAUUUCAUCGGUUAUCCUUUCUCUUCUGAAGAAAUCAAAAAAGGGUCAGUCGACAAGAUCGUAAGCAUGUGUAGUUUC
rnacentral:lncRNA from 1 species